CUGUAAACGUACCAAUUUAUUAAAAUUGUGGACUAUUAGUGCUUCUUGUAUAAGAAGCAGGAUCAUUUUGAGCCAAAGUUCAAAAUAAUGCCUUUUCCUCGAAAGAGUCAAUUCCAAAGCAUUUGGAUGAUCCAUCCACUAAAUUUGACUCGAAGCCAAACCCAUCAUCAGUGGCUGUUCCUGCAAAACAGACAUGAUCAGAGGUUCAAUUUCAUCAACGUUAGCUCCACAACCUUCCUGGUUCACUGCCAAAAGGUUACUAGCCAUAUUCUGUAUAAUCAACUUGCUAAAUUAUGUGGAUCGCGGUGCUAUAGCGAGCAACGGUGUUAAUGGGAAG